GGCAAUGGUUCAGGACAUUAUCCCAGCACUUAGUAACUACUCAAUUAGUGAUAGUGAUAGCCUUGUUACUUUUAAUUUUCCCUUUACUCUCUGACCCGUAUCCACUUAGAGAUGAGGAUAUAGGAAACAGGAAGAUUUAGAAUAAUAUAUUUAGCAAUCAUGAACACGGAAAGGAGUGGGAAGAAAGAGAAAAUGACUUGAAAAUGCUACGGAUUUUAACUGUUGACAAGGAGAGCGCUUCGGUACAAUGAGCAGUACCUGGGAGGGAACCAAAUGGGAACUAGACGCGGACAGGAAACCCGAUGCUUCGCUCAUGUUUUUUCUGAUGCCUCAGGAUUCUGUCAUGACGUUGCUUCUGUCCGGCUGGUAGCACAUUCUCUGUGGCUUUAAGUACUUCUUCAGCCCGAGUCCCUGGAUGGACGGACUGACGUGCACGCUCUUCCCCAGACCUUACUGCUGCAGCACGCGGGAGGAAGGGCUGGACUGACCUCGCCGGGUGGGUGUGGACAAGGCAGGUGAGGUGGGGUGGAGAAGCUCCACUCUCCCGAGCCAUUAUGAGGGCCACAGAGAGCCUCUGGCCCCAUGACUCUGCUUCAGCUUCGCAAGGAAAAGCAGGGACGCUGUGAGACGGGAAUCUGCCUCUGCCCCCUUGAGGAGAGCACAUCAAAGGGUCAGGGACACGGGAAACGGCCGGGAGCCUCAUGCACGACGGCUGGAGGAGUGUCCCGGGCAGUCGGGAGUCUAGAAGCAACUCACACAUGGUGCUGACUUCCUCUCUCCUCCUGCUUCUGGGAGAGCUUCUAAAACAGUGGAGGGGCUGUGAAAUAGGAGGCGUGGGACACUGAGCGAGGCAGCCCCAGGAGCCGCCGCGACUCUGAACGGCAUCGCCACGCAGCGGUGUUUUUCUCAUCAUCAGGGACAAGCACUGGAGAGCUCCCGGCCGUUUAAAGACAGCAAGUCUGCUCUCCUUCUUCAAGGCAGCUGCCAUCGUUUUUAAGGAUGAAGAAAAGCCAACACAGGACUCGUAAAUAUUUGAUAUAUUGUAGAAAAUAAUGUUUACCAAAGUCAUGCUUUGGUGCUUAUUAAACACGAUGCAAUGUAAUUGUGUUAUGCAAGGAUGAUUACGGGAGCUCUAGAAAUAGUCAUUAUUAGUCACGACAGGUGAUGUGACCUGGUACAGGAACAGCAGUUUAAAAUCAAGUGACAAAGGUCAUCCUGAUUUUGCUACCAUAAGCGUUGCGGAGACAAGACAUAAGGGCUUCUGCUGCUCCUGCCGAGUGGGGGCCUGGAGCUCACACGCGUGUGCUGCCUUCCUUCCUGCCUUCCUCCGGCCUCCAGGCCUCCCCUGCCCCGCACAGGUUCACACCCUCCUUCUCCUUCUGAGGCUCAACUAAACGCCAUUCCCUCUCCCUUCUCUAGGCCUCCCCCAGGACGAAAUCUCUUAUCACUUCCCCGCGGCAGCUUCUCUUGGGGUCAGCCACGUCACGAUUCUGACUUCAGUCCCACGGCUCGGGCGGUGGCUGUCCAGACCAGGCCUGUGAGAAAGGCCGGUCCCCCACUUCCGAGUGAUCCUCUAACCGCGCUCCGCCGACUGUCCCCUGUUGUGCCGCGCUCACCGGUGCUCAGCGUGUCGUCAUGGGCUGAGGGAGCGGCCGUGGGUUGGAGGAUCCGGUGUCUGAGGCGCGUUGCGAGGCC